ACGGGUGAGUAACACGUGAGUAACCUGCCCUUGACUCUGGGAUAACCUCCGGAAACGGAAGCUAAUACCGGAUAUGACGCACGGAGGCAUCUCCUGUGCGUGGAAAGAAUUUCGGUCAAGGAUGGACUCGCGGCCUAUCAGGUAGUUGGUGAGGUAACGGCCCACCAAGCCUACGACGGGUAGCCGGCCUGAGAGGGUGACCGGCCACACUGGGACUGAGACACGGCCCAGACUCCUACGGGAGGCAGCAGUGGGGAAUAUUGCACAAUGGGCGAAAGCCUGAUGCAGCAACGCCGCGUGAGGGACGACGGCCUUCGGGUUGUAAACCUCUUUUAGUAGGGAAGAAGCGAAAGUGACGGUACCUGCAGAAAAAGCACCGGCUAACUACGUGCCAGCAGCCGCGGUAAUACGUAGGGUGCGAGCGUUGUCCGGAAUUAUUGGGCGUAAAGAGCUCGUAGGCGGUCUGUCGCGUCUGCUGUGAAAUCCCGAGGCUCAACCUCGGGCCUGCAGUGGGUACGGGCAGACUAGAGUGCGGUAGGGGAGAUUGGAAUUCCUGGUGUAGCGGUGGAAUGCGCAGA
rnacentral:rRNA from 1 species